rnacentral:rRNA from 1 species
GUGGGGAAUCUUAGACAAUGGGGGAAACCCUGAUCUAGCCAUGCCGCGUGAGCGAUGAAGGCCUUAGGGUUGUAAAGCUCUUUCAGCUGGGAAGAUAAUGACGGUACCAGCAGAAGAAGCCCCGGCUAACUCCGUGCCAGCAGCCGCGGUAAUACGGAGGGGGCUAGCGUUGUUCGGAAUUACUGGGCGUAAAGCGCACGUAGGCGGAUCAGAAAGUCAGAGGUGAAAUCCCAGGGCUCAACCUUGGAACUGCCUUUGAAACUCCUGGUCUUGAGGUCGAGAGUGGUGAGUGGAAUUCCGAGUGUAGAGGUGAAAUUCGUAGAUAUUCGGAGGAACACCAGUGGCGAAGGCGGCUCACUGGCUCGAUACUGACGCUGAGGUGCGAAAGCGUGGGGAGCAAACAGGAUUAGAAACCCGAGUAGUCC